rnacentral:rRNA from 1 species
GCUGGCGGCGUGGCUAACACAUGCAAGUCGAACGAGAAAGUGGAGCAAUCCAUGAGUAAAGUGGCGACCGGGUGAGUAACACGUGACUAACCUACCUCCGAGUGGGGAAUAACUCCGGGAAACCGGGGCUAAUACCGCAUAACAUCGCAAGAUCAAAGCAGCAAUGCGCUUGGAGAGGGGGUCGCGGCUGAUUAGCUCGUUGGCGGGGUAACGGCCCACCAAGGCGAAGAUCGGUAUCCGGCCUGAGAGGGCGCACGGACACACUGGAACUGAAACACGGUCCAGACUCCUACGGGAGGCAGCAGUGGGGAAUUUUGCGCAACGGGGGAAACCCUGACGCAGCAACGCCGCGUGGAGGAUGAAGCCCUUUGGGGCGUAAACUCCUUUCGACUCGGACGAUAAUGACGGUACGAGUGGAAGAAGCACCGGCUAACUCUGUGCCAGCAGCCGCGGUAAUACAGAGGGUGCGAGCGUNGUUCGGAAUUAUUGGGCGUAAAGGGCGCGUAGGCGGUGCGGUAAGUCACCUGUGAAAUCUCCUGNCUUAACUGGGAGCCUGCAGGCGAAACUACCGUGCUG